AGCGAACGCUGGCGGCAGGCUUAACACAUGCAAGUCGAGCGGGCACUUUCGGGUGUCAGCGGCUGACGGGUGAGUAACGCGUGGGAACGUGCCCUCUGGUUCGGAAUAACUCAGGGAAACUUGAGCUAAUACCGGAUACGCCCUUUUGGGGAAAGGCUUGCUGCCGGAGGAUCGGCCCGCGUCUGAUUAGCUAGUUGGUGAGGUAACGGCUCACCAAGGCGACGAUCAGAAGCUGGUCUGAGAGGAUGAUCGGCCACCCUGGGACGGAGACACGGCCCAGCGCCCAACGCGGGGAAGGAGGGGGGAAGAGGGCAUAAUGGGCGGGAGCCUGAUGCCGCCACGCCGCUUGGGGGAUGACGGCAUUGGGGUUGUAAAGCGAUUUUGCCUGUGACGAAGCGAGAGUGACGGCAAUGGGGAAAGAAGCACCCGCUAAUUACGUG
rnacentral:rRNA from 1 species